CGUAAUUGAAGAGGUUUGGAAAGACCCACCACAGAAGGUAAUAGUCCUGUAUGUUAAACGAGAAGACUUCAGAUAUGAUCCAGAGUACCACGGGACACGGGAAACCCUGUGGGAAGCAGGAGGGACCACCCUCCAAGGCUAAAUACUACCUAGUGACCGAUAGCGUAUAGUACCGUGAGGGAAAGGUGAAAAGAACCCCGGGAGGGGAGGGAAAUAGAACCUGAAACCCUGCACUUACAAGCUGUGGAAGCACAUUUCUUGUGUGACCGCGUACUUUUUGUAGAACGG
rnacentral:rRNA from 1 species